UACGGGGGGGGGCAAGCGUUGUUUCGGAAUUACUGGGCGUAAAGGGCUCGUAGGCGGCCAACUAAGUCGGACGUGAAAUCCCCAGGCUCAACCUGGGAACUGCGUCCGAUACUGGAUGGCUUGAAUCCGGGAGAGGGAUGCAGAAUUCCAGGUGUAGCGGUGAAAUGCGUAGAUAUCUGGAGGAAUACCGGUGGCGAAGGCGGCAUCCUGGACCGGCAUUGACGCUGAGGAGCGAAAGCCAGGGGAGCAAACGGG
rnacentral:rRNA from 1 species